rnacentral:lncRNA from 1 species
UCAGUACACAUACAUCUACUAUACUAAAAAUGCCAAAUGAGCCUACACUAAUUUUCUUGUUACUAUCUGGUGUUGUUCCUUACAAUUACAAAGAGAUGAAACAAAAAUGAUGUUCGGGCUAAAUAUCAGCCAUAUGACCAAAGUUGAUCCACGGGCUGAUAAGACAUGAUCUUCUAGCUGUCAGUGCAAGCAAUCUCAUAUUAUGCUCUCCAUGUCAUGUAUCGACCCAAUUAUGGCUGCUGCAAACUACCUUCUGAAAAAGACUGCAGGACCUGAACUCAAAAGGCAAACAACAUAAGAAAAUAAACAAAAAACUGUUAAUGAUCCUGGGCAGUUGUAGUAGCCAUUAGCCCCACUAAAAGAAAUGAAGCCACUCUCAGUGUCUCUGUUAGAACUGCAGUUCUAGAAGCUGGAUAAUAUGUCUACAACAAAAAAAAAAUUGAGAGAUUGUCUAAAACAACAAUAUGAUGUUAUGUGUCUACAAUAACUGAAAAUCAAAUCUAUAAGAAAAAAGGAACAUCAUUGGUACUAACAAAAAGAGCACAUUGCUAGACAACUCCUCGGACUGCUGGUCAUAGGCUAAGAAAGACAAGACUGAAAAAGACACGAAAGGCUAGAAAACUUACAAAGCAGACAAAUACUAAUACAAGGCGGAUAAAUACUGAGAAUAAAAAUAAGAUUUCUUUUUUUGCAAGAAUGACAAGGCACUGAUGAACAAUAUAGGUGAUAGAAAAAAACCCGACAAAUACUUGGAAUGAGACUAAGACAUGAAUACUCAAGCACUUAAGCUGAACACGAGACAAGACUAAAAACUAUUAAAGAAACAAGAAUAGUUAUAAAACACAAAAUGAUAAUGAGAAAUAUACAUGACAGAAUACUUAAGCACUUAACCUGAUCAUACUGAGACUAAGAAAAAACUGAAAACGGUUAAGAAACAACAAAAAUAAUUCAGGUGACUUGGGAGUACCUGUCAUUCUGUCUGACACUUCAAGGGAAUAUUCAGGUGAGAAGGGCUGAAAUCUCUUGGAAUUUUAGCUGUGUCAAGCAAAAUUGUACAAAACAAAGCAUGAUCCUGAGAUAAGAUAGUAUUGCCCGUGGCAUUUGCAGGCAUUCAGAAUUUCAGAUGCAGGAAAGGGAGCACUCACAUGGGAGUGAGCGUUUUGGGAAGGUGAGGAGGAGGAGGAGGGGCGUAACAGAGGUAGACAGCGGCAUGACGAGGAGGAGCUGGAUGGAGUCGCCGUGCUUCACGACGUGCGUUUACGCCCACGCGACGGCCGGCCUGGGGGCCUCCCUCGCCGCGGCCCGAGCCGCCACAAAAAUAACCGCCGCAUCCUCCGGUCGCCGGGUCUGCCGCGAAGGUUCGCUGCCGUCUGCCGCCAUCUCCUUCGCCACCGCUGGAACCACCCGGAAGAACUGAAGCCU